GGGGAUUUAGCUCAGCGGCAUAAGCGCCUGCCUUGCAAGCAGGUAGUCGUGAGUUCGAUCCCCA
rfam:Cavia porcellus supercont2_87 genomic scaffold, whole genome shotgun sequence.